rnacentral:rRNA from 1 species
UACGUAGGGGGCAAGCGUUGUCCGGAUUUACUGGGCGUAAAGGGCUCGUAGGCGGCCAACUAAGUCAGACGUGAAAUCCCUCGGCUUAACCGGGGAACUGCAUCUGAUACUGGAUGGCUUGAGUUUGGGAGAGGGAUGCGGAAUUCCAGGUGUAGCGGUGAAAUGCGUAGAUAUCUGGAGGAACACCGGUGGCGAAGGCGGCAUCCUGGACCAACACUGACGCUGAGGAGCGAAAGCCAGGGGAGCAAACGGG